rfam:Trichobilharzia regenti genome assembly, scaffold: TRE_scaffold0012525
GUACUACUGAGGAGUCCCAAACUAAGACGAAGCAGCUGUCCAGUAC